UACGGAGGGUGCAAGCGUUAUCCGGAUUCACUGGGUUUAAAGGGUGCGUAGGUGGGUUGGUAAGUCAGUGGUGAAAUCUCCGAGCUUAACUUGGAAACUGCCAUUGAUACUAUCAGUCUUGAAUAUUGUGGAGGUCAGCGGAAUAUGUCAUGUAGCGGUGAAAUGCUUAGAUAUGACAUAGAACACCAAUUGCGAAGGCAGCUGGCUACACAUAUAUUGACGCUGAGGUGCGAAAGCGUGGGGAGCAAACAGG
rnacentral:rRNA from 1 species